AUACGGAGGGUCCAAGCGUUAUCCGGAUUCAUUGGGUUUAAAGGGUCCGCAGGCGGGAAAAUAAGUCAGUGGUGAAAGCCUACAGCUCAACUGUAGAACUGCCAUUGAUACUGUUUUUCUUGAGUAUAGAUGAAGUGGGCGGAAUAUAUCAUGUAGCGGUGAAAUGCAUAGAUAUGAUAUAGAACACCGAUUGCGAAGGCAGCUCACUAAACUAUUACUGACGCUCAGGGACGAAAGCGUGGGGAGCGAACGGGAUUAGAAACCCUAGUAGUCC
rnacentral:rRNA from 1 species